rnacentral:rRNA from 1 species
AGAGUUUGAUCAUGGCUCAGGACGAACGCUGGCGGCGUGCCUAAUACAUGCAAGUCGAGCGCAGGAAGCUCACGGAACUUUUCGGAGGGAAGUGAAGGGAAUGAGCGGCGGACGGGUGAGUAACACGUAAGGAACCUGCCCCAAGGAUUGGGAUAACUCCGAGAAAUCGGAGCUAAUACCGAAUAGUUCUUCAGACCGCAUGGUCUGAUGAUGAAAGGCGCUCCGGCGUCACCUUGGGAUGGCCUUGCGGUGCAUUAGCUAGUUGGUGGGGUAAUGGCCCACCAAGGCGACGAUGCAUAGCCGACCUGAGAGGGUGAUCGGCCACACUGGGACUGAGACACGGCCCAGACUCCUACGGGAGGCAGCAGUAGGGAAUCUUCCACAAUGGACGAAAGUCUGAUGGAGCAACGCCGCGUGAGUGAUGAAGGUUUUCGGAUCGUAAAACUCUGUUGUAAGGGAAGAACAGGCAUGAGAGGUAAUGCUCAUGCUAUGACGGUACCUUACGAGAAAGCCACGGCUAACUACGUGCCAGCAGCCGCGGUAAUACGUAGGUGGCAAGCGUUGUCCGGAAUUAUUGGGCGUAAAGCGCGCGCAGGCGGCCUUUUAAGUCUGAUGUGAAAGCCCCCGGCUCAACCGGGGAGGGUCAUUGGAAACUGGAAGGCUUGAGUACAGAAGAGAAGAGUGGAAUUCCAUGUGUAGCGGUGAAAUGCGUAGAGAUGUGGAGGAACACCAGUGGCGAAAGCGACUCUUUGGUCUGUAACUGACGCUGAGGCGCGAAAGCGUGGGGAGCAAACAGGAUUAGAUACCCUGGUAGUCCACGCCGUAACGAUGAGUGCUAGUGUUGGGGGGUUUCCGCCCCUCAGUGCUGAGCUAACGCAUUAGCACUCGCCUGGGGAGUACGCGCAGCUGAACUCAAGGAUUGACGGGACCCGCACAGCGUGAGCAUGUGGUUUAUCGAGC